CGGCCACAUUGGGACUGAGACACGGCCCAGACUCCUACGGGAGGCAGCAGUGGGGAAUAUUGCACAAUGGGGGAAACCCUGAUGCAGCGACGCCGCGUGGAGGAAGAAGGUCUUCGGAUUGUAAACUCCUGUUGUUGAGGAAGAUAAUGACGGUACUCAACAAGGAAGUGACGGCUAACUACGUGCCAGCAGCCGCGGUAAAACGUAGGUCACAAGCGUUGUCCGGAAUUACUGGGUGUAAAGGGAGCGCAGGCGGGAAGACAAGUUGGAAGUGAAAUCCAUGGGCUCAACCCAUGAACUGCUUUCAAAACUGUUUUUCUUGAGUAGUGCAGAGGUAGGUGGAAUUCCCGGUGUAGCGGUGGAAUGCGUAGAUAUCGGGAGGAACACCAGUGGCGAAGGCGGCCUACUGGGCACCAACUGACGCUGAGGCUCGAAAGUGUGGGUAGCAAACAGGAUUAGAUACCCUGGUAGUCCACACCGUAAACGAUGAUUACUAGGUGUUGGAGGAUUGACCCCUUCAGUGCCGCAGUUAACACAAUAAGUAAUCCACCUGGGGAGUACGACCGCAAGGUUGAAACUCAAAGGAAUUGACGGGGGCCCGCACAAGCAGUGGAGUAUGUGGUUUAAUUCGAAGCAACGCGAAGAACCUUACCAGGUCUUGACAUCCGAUGCAUAGUGCAGAGAUGCAUGAAGUCCUUCGGGACAUCGAGACAGGUGGUGCAUGGUUGUCGUCAGCUCGUGUCGUGAGAUGUUGGGUUAAGUCC
rnacentral:rRNA from 1 species